rnacentral:rRNA from 1 species
UGGGGAAUAUUGGUCAAUGGGCGAAAGCCUGAACCAGCCAUGCCGCGUGAGUGAAGAAGGCCCUAGGGUUGUAAAGCUCUUUCAGCGGGGACGAUAAUGACGGUACCCGCAGAAGAAGCCCCGGCUAACUUCGUGCCAGCAGCCGCGGUAAUACGGAGGGGGCUAGCGUUGUUCGGAAUUACUGGGCGUAAAGCGCACGUAGGCGGCGAUUUAAGUCAGAGGUGAAAGCCCGGGGCUCAACCCCGGAACUGCCUUUGAGACUGGAUUGCUUGAACAUCGGAGAGGUGAGUGGAAUUCCGAGUGUAGAGGUGAAAUUCGUAGAUAUUCGGAAGAACACCAGUGGCGAAGGCGGCUCACUGGACGAUUGUUGACGCUGAGGUGCGAAAGCGUGGGGAGCAAA